CGCCCAGAUAGCUCAGCUGGUAGAGCAGAGGACUGAAAAUCCUCGUGUCG
rnacentral:tRNA from 1 species